rnacentral:tRNA from 1 species
GCCCCAGUAGACUAGCGGUUAAGUCAGGAGACUUCAAAUCUCCCAUCACCCUGCAACCAGUAGGGAGUCGCGGGUUCGAAUCCCGUCUGGGGCUUA